GUGUGAGCCACCGCGCCCUGCCAGCUCUGUCUAGUUGAGAGGUGCAGUGCCUCUCCUGUGGGCAGGUGUGCUGUGGGACCUCCUGCCCCUGCCGCUCCUGCCGCCUGCCCGAGGGCUCACCCGGGUGUAGUCCUCCACGUGCUGCAGCUGGGUCUCCUGGCAGAUGCACAGGUUCAGGAAGUUCUGCCACUCCAUCUUCAGGGCCUCCUGGUGGGCCUGGGUAUGGCAGCACGGAGCCCUCGGACCACGCCCCGCCCCCCCACCCACGUCCACCCCACCUCCCCCGCUUCCCCGCCCACCACGUCCCUUCUCACUCUUGCCCUGUCCCCAGCGCACCUGGAUGGGCCCCACCGCGGGGUGCCGCAGCUCCACCAUGCGCUCUCCGUCGUCCUCCAGCUGGUUUACGCUCUGCUCCUGGCUCAGCAGCUCGUGCUGCUUGAAGUGCUGGGGGCGAGUCGGGUGGGGAGCGGCGGUGAGGACCAGGAUGGCCCUGGCCACCCCCCCCUGGCCCCAACCUCUGCCAGCCGACCUCGUACUCCCGCCGCACGCCCGCAGGAUCGGCCAUGAGGUCUCUCCAGUCCUGCUGCAGGAUGCGGCGCUGCUGCUCCGCCAGGGCGCUCAGCUGCCGCGUGCAGCCCUGCAGGUGCGUGCACAGGCUGCCCAGGCUCUGCCCGCGCCACGACACCGCCUUCUGUGCUCAGGACCCGUCGCCUGCAGCAGGGUGGGGAGAGAGAAAGUGGGGGGCAAAAGGCGCCAUUGGGCCACGCUCAGGAACACUGGCCCCGGGCAGGGUCUGGGCCGCCACCCAGGCCCACCGGCAGCCACCCUGCCCGACCCUCCCUCCUGCUCACCAGUAGGUCUCGGUAUUGGCUCCGGAUGGUGGCUGCAUCCUGCCUCGACCAAGGGGAGAAACAAGCCCGUGAGAGGUGGGGUGCAGGGAGACGGCCCCCUAAGAUCUGGGCCAGCCAUCCCCAACCCACCCCUAUCCCCAGGGCCCAGCCGAUCGAGCUCCGGCUCUGACUGGAGAAACAGGGGCUGAAGCUGGCCCCGGAUGUGACAUCCUCCCGGCUCACCCACCGGCCCCACGAGGCUCCGCAGCUGCUCUCCUUGGUCGUUGAUCUUGUUCUGCAGGAUGUUGAGCUCCGCGAUCUGUUCCUCCAGCUCCGCCAUGCCCGGCCCGUACCGGCCGGCGCAGACCUGCUUCUGCAGGAGAGCCGGCGGCUCAUCACCGCAGGACCGCGGUGGGGAGCCAGAGAACCCCAUACGCCUCCCACCCGGAGAAGUGGAUUUGGUCAUUUGGGCAGAGCGUGGACGAGCCUGGGAGCAGCCCGGGUGCACGCCCUGAAGCUCACCCAGGGGCGAGGCCAUUCUGCAGUGGCCCCUGAGUCCCACAGGUUCCCAGACGCUGGGCUCAGCCUCUGAGAAGUCUCCAGCUCCAUCCUGCCUUGUCUGUGAGCCAGCCUCAGUGCUUCCCGCCUGGACACCUUCCAGCCAAGCUCCAGGGCCCUCAGAACGCCGUGCUCCACCCGGGCCCUUCCCCACUGUCCCUCUGUUGUCAUGAUGACACCCCUUCUGUGUGGCAUCAAAGCACAACUCCUCACCCCGGGAUCAGAAUGCCCCAUGACCUGGCUCUGCCCACCUGCCCAGAAAUCCCCACUUCCCGUCGAACCCUAGGCUUCCUCCUGGCAGGAACCUUUGCUCUUUCUUUCUGGAAUUGUCCUCUCCUCACUACUUCACCCUGACCCAACCGAGCCCUCUCACCCCUCUGAGGUCUCUUCAUGUGCCUCCUCCUGCAGGAAGUCUUCCCUGACUGCACUGUCUGCUCUGCUGUCUCCCUGCCCAGACCCCUGAGCCACCCCUACACCCUGACUGUUCAAGCCUACAGUCAGGCCCUGGGUUAAAUGCAGUUCCUUAUCGCCCUCUGAUCACACUGGGGUGUGACUUUGAGCUCCUGACCUGUUUCUGCUCCAGCACGCGUGCCCAGUCGACCCUGGGUCCCACGCCGGGGCGGCAGUACCAUCUUCUCGUACAGGGCACGGUACUCCGCACACUCCUGGGUCACCCGCUCGUGCAGCUGCUUGAUGCUGUCAAGAAAGUGGCCAGCAGGUCAGGGCUGGGCCUGGGUCUUCCCCAGGGACCCCCAGCCCUGCCGCAGCCCCACUCACUCCUUCUCAGUCUCCUCAGCCUGCGGGUACUUGAGCCGCCGGGCCUUGUCCACGUCCAGGAAGAGGUCCUUGAGUAGCACCUCGGCCUCCUUCAGGCUGCGGCCCGUCUCCUGCUGGUGCUGCAGGGCCUGGCUCUGCUCACUGUUCAGCCGGUCCUGUGGGCAGGGGAUGGGCAGACUCGCCAGGGCCCAGAGCCCCCACACCCCUGAUGCCCAUCACUGUGGGCCUGAGCCCCACCUUUGGGACCCCAGCUAUGCUGGCCAACCUCGAGGCCCACGCCAGGCACAGGGUCAGGUCCAGGGCGUCCGUGGGGCAGGUGACAGGACACGGGAGCCCAGCAAAGAAGGAAGCUGAGCCCUCUCUCCCACUGUGUGUUAGGGGACGGGCAGUGCAGGACAAAUGUCAUCUGUCCCAUCUUCACCAUCACCAGGGGGCACUCAGGGAGUGCCAGUCCUGAUGAUGCGCCUCCCAUGCCACCCAGCCUGCCCACGCCCUGCCAACUGCUGCCGGGGCCUCACCUGCUGCAGCCUCUUCUGCAUCUCCAGGAUGUCCCGCUCCACCUGGUCGGCGCUGGCUUGCAUGUGGGAGAUGAGCAGGGCCAGCUCCUGGGUGGCAGCCCUGGUGGGUGGAGGGGACAGUGGGCAGCUCGGUGGAAGAGGCCCCUCUGUGCCCCAUCCAGGUGGCGUCCCCUGCCCUCCCUCCACCCCAUCCUGCCCCCACAGCCUAGCUCACUGCCCUGACUUUGGGGUCUCUCUCUGCAGGAGGCUCUGUGAGCUAGAACUGGUUGGGGGUGUUAGCAUUGCCCCGCCACAUGAGGGGUCAAAAGGUGAGGGUCUCAGGUCUGUGUGGUGCUGCGGGGGCAGGCGGCCUCAGUGUCCCAGCCUCAGCCAGCUGUGCUGGCAGUGAGUUCCUGACCCCACCCAGCUGCCUGCCACUUCCCCCCUGCGAGCCAGUGAAUCACCGGCUCAGCCACUAGUACCUGAGCCAGCCUGGCUGGGCCUUGGGAGGGGCAGUUGGGCUGGCUGGAGCAGGGAGGCAGCAGCAUGUCCCCCACCCCCAUCUCCUCCCACUCCAGCCAUGUGUUCCCCUAUACCUCCUCCACCCUGGGGAGCUUUGCCAGGGUGCUGGCUUCAGUAGCCGUCUAGAGGAGCCUCACACUGUCGGAGCCGAGGAGGGGGGGCAGGCGCAAGAGACUGCUGGGCACCCUAACAUUCUCCAGAGUUGAGGGUUCAAAGCCCAGAUUGGGCCCUGACUUGCUCUGAGUCACAUGGUCAGGGACGGAGGGGAAACCUUGCUUCCACCCCAGGGCUUUUUCUGUGCAUUCGCCCUGCAGCCUCCAUAGAGCACCUGCUGUGUGCACGCAGUCACUCUGUGGAGGUCACGAGGUCAAGCAGACCUAAAAGAGGGCAGAUUGGUCCAAGCCUCAUGAGCACAGUGCCUUAUGGGGGAUCAUUAUCCUGGGGCAGGGGAAGCCUUGAACUGGGUCAAAGGAUGGGCCCCCUCCCAGGCAAAGGGACAGUGCUGGUGAAGGCACAGCAGUCUGGAAGAACUCUGUGGCCAAGACAGCCUGGUUUCAUCUUUCUCCAUCAUUAAUGCUGUGUGAUCUUGGGCAAGUUACUCAACCUCUCUGUGCCUGAGGUUCCUCACUCGUAAAGCGGGAUUUGAAUAAAAAUAUCUAUGCCUUAGG
rnacentral:antisense_RNA from 1 species